GACGAACGCUGGCGGCGUGCCUAACACAUGCAAGUCGAGCGGGGAUUUAAGUGGAAGUUCUUCGGAAUGGAGAUUUAAAUUCUAGCGGCGGACGGGUGAGUAACGCGUGAACAAUCUGUCCCGGACAGGGGGAUAACACUUGGAAACAGGUGCUAAUACCGCAUAAGACCACGGCCUCGCAUGGGGCUGAGGUAAAAGGAGCAAUCCGGUUCGGGGUGAGUUCGCGUCCGAUUAGCUAGUUGGUGAGGUAACGGCACACCAAGGCGACGAUCGGUAGCCGGCCUGAGAGGGUGAACGGCCACAUUGGAACUGAGAGACGGUCCAAACUCCUACGGGAGGCAGCAGUGGGGAAUAUUGGGCAAUGGGCGAAAGCCUGACCCAGCAACGCCGCGUGAGGGAAGAAGGUUUUCGGAUUGUAAACCUCUGUCCUAUGGGACGAAGGAAGUGACGGUACCAUAGGAGGAAGCCCCGGCUAACUACGUG
rnacentral:rRNA from 1 species